rnacentral:lncRNA from 1 species
CUCAUCACGAUCACAAGGAGGGCACCGUGAUCGCAAAAGGUUAACGGUUCAAGUUGGAUCAAGUUUGCUUCGCAAACACAACAAGGCUGUCGCGGGAGCAAAGAUCCAAAUUUAUAGACCUUCACAAAUACGAAACCUUCACAACGAAUGUGAAGGCCAACCAGGGGCGGAUCUACCCUUUGCCGAGGGGGUUCGUCUGAACCUCCUUCGACAAAAAAUUAUGCUAUAUAUACAUUAUUAAAAUUAUUUUUUAUGUAUAUAUAUUAGAUGUUGAACCCCCUUCAGUUAGUUCGUAUGUUCACUUAUGAACCUCCUUCGUGAAUAUUGUGGCUCCGCCACUGAGACCAACAAUUUGUAUAGGCAAACUUUGACCCUUUCGAUCACGAGGUGGGGUCUGCAAUUGCAAGGCAUUGUUCACUAUACAAUAAAUAAGGUCCAUUUUCACCUUUUCCUCUAUUUUUGGACCUUUGAGCUUUGGGAUUUGGCAUAGAGUCCAACUUUGGAGGAAAUUGUUGGCUUCAGGGGAAAGGGAUCGAGUCUUUGCAAUGCUGAGCUUCAUAACAAAAAGCCUAUAAUCCAUAAUAAGGUUGCUGGCAACAAGUUCGUGGAUCUAGUUAAAGUCAAUCAAAAGGAAAAAGUGUUUGAAUAAUAGGUGGAUUUCUCUGAAUUUUUUUUUAUAAGAGGUAUGGUAAGAAGGAUGGGUUUAAAAAGUACCUAAAGGCAACUCAGCAAUCAAGGGACGCAGAAGCAUGGAAAUAAACUGGGUGCUUUUUCUUUAUGGUUGCAUUUUUGGGGCUCAUUAUAUUUUCAGAACUGGACAAACACAUUGACAUUCAUCUAGCUGGGGUAGUGAACGGGUUGGUUAAAAUGGAAAUCCUACCAUUGUUCCUACGAUUAUUGCAGAUAUGUUUCGUACAUUGACCAAGUGCAAAGAAGGGACUACUUUUAAGGAUUCAAUAUCUUGUUGCAAAUAUGGUUCUUGGAACAUCUCUAUCACCAUGAUCGUGCACCGAGAUUCUCUCCUGACUAGUCCAAUUAUGUAUCCACUUACAAGGAUAGGGUCGCAAAAAUAUAUUUUCCACAGAUCCUGGCAUGUAAAGAAAAGCUCUUAGUGUUGACUUUUGAUGAAAUCUUUUGAAACUAUCAUAGGUUCCUAGCAAAGAAGUCACUUGCACGUCCUACGAUAUUUUAUUUCUUAUUUUGAUUCGACAUAGUGGUGUCUAAUAGUAUGCCUCACUUCGGGUGAAGUGCCAGUUGGCUCAACUCCAAAAAGUCCCUCCAAAUAAAGACAUGAGAAGAUUUAUGUUUGACACUCCCCCAUGUUUUUUCUUUGACACCGGUGAUAUUAUGAAUAUCUAGUAUGGAAGUAUAAUUUCUAAGAAAUGAGAAAUAGUGGUUGAGCAGGAUAGAGGAAAGGUGGUCCCCACGUACCUAUCAUGGUUUUUUUAACCCAGUUAUAUUCAGUGACUUCUAUGAAGGAUCUAGUAAGAAAAGGAAGGACCAACAUACCAUAAGACAACGAAAAGAAAAGUUAAGAGUAGGCCAGAGAAACUAUAUCGCAACAACAAUCUAGGUUCAUUUGGGAAAGGAUUAUCAUUCGACUUUGUAAGAGUUGGAAAGAGAGUUGAGGUACGCCGAGGAAAAGUUAAUUUGAUUGGAGGAGGAACUAGAGGAAGGAUCAAUUUAGCUUGACAGAUUAAAAGGGAACAAAGUGCUGAUAUACUUUGAUUAAUGAAGGACUUGCUCGCCUCCAACAAUAUUAUUCACUGCCAACUAGUUGAUUUCAAGUAGCAGAAUGAACAAUUUGAGAAUGAGAGGGCCUAUUGGGUGUGCACUCACAGUGACCACUUCAAGAACAUCUAGAGGAGCAUUGGAAGAAAAGAAGUCAGUAUGCAAGUAUUGAGGCAGAGAAGAGAUAGAGGACCAUUGAAAGAGAAACACUUCAUAAUUGUCUUGAGGAAUUGGAGGAGCUCUAGGACAUCUUAAUGAACAACUUUCACAACAAUUAGGCCUGGUUGAACAAUCGUCAUAAAAUAUGGAUGGGCUAGACUCCAUGUGUAUCAAUUUGCGAAAACUACAUCAUAUAUCAUCUACGAUCAUCAUCGUUUAGAUGAUAUGAGAGUCGCUAAGCAGGAUCAUGCCAUCGACCCUCUUUUUCCAAAGGCAUUUGUGAGAUUUUAUGAGACCUUUGGAGGAAAACGAAAUCCUCAAGAAGAUCUAUCAAGAAAGUAGAUUUGAAGUCCAAUGCAACAUUCUUUUUGCUUUAUUUUGUCUUGUUGUUUAAGAAGUCAAUAUUUCUAGAUUUAUUCUGUUGUUUUGUCUAAGAUUCCUUGUUAUCCUAGUCUUAUUUAAGUUUUUUAUCUUGCCUCGUGUGUUUAUGUAUUUUCCCUAUUUAGAGUCUGUUUUAGAAAUUGAAAUGAAUGA